rnacentral:rRNA from 1 species
GUAAUCCACCUGGGGAGUACGAUCGCAAGGUUGAAACUCAAAGGAAUUGACGGGGGCCCGCACAAGCGGAGGAGCAUGUGGUUUAAUUCGAUGAUACGCGAGGAACCUUACCUGGGCUUAAAUGCAUAAUGACGUACUGGGAAACUGGUAUUUCUUCGGACAUUUUGCAAGGUGCUGCAUGGUUGUCGUCAGCUCGUGCCGUGAGGUGUCGGGUUAAGUCCCAUAACGAGCGCAACCCCUAUUGUUAGUUGCCAUCAGAUAAUGCUGGGGACUCUAACAAAACUGCCCGCGUAAGCGUGGAGGAAGGUGGGGAUGACGUCAAAUCAGCACGGCCCUUACGUCCAGGGCUACACACGUGCUACAAUGGCCGAUACAGAGGGCAGCCACUUGGUGACAAGGAGCAAAUCUCAAAAGUCGGUCUCAGUUCGGAUCGGAGUCUGCAACUCGACUCCGUGAAGUUGGAUUCGCUAGUAAUCGUAGAUCAGCAACGCUACGGUGAAUACGUUCCCGGGCCUUGUACACACCGCCCGUCAAACAAUGGAAGCUUGGGGGUACCUAAAGUCCGUAACCGUAAAGGAGCGGCCUAGGGUAAAACAAGUAACUGGUGUUAAGUC